rnacentral:rRNA from 1 species
GAUGAACGCUGGCGGCGUGCCUAAUACAUGCAAGUCGAGCGAAUGGAUUAAGAGCUUGCUCUUAUGAAGUUAGCGGCGGACGGGUGAGUAACACGUGGGUAACCUGCCCAUAAGACUGGGAUAACUCCGGGAAACCGGGGCUAAUACCGGAUAACAUUUUGAACCGCAUGGUUCGAAAUUGAAAGGCGGCUUCGGCUGUCACUUAUGGAUGGACCCGCGUCGCAUUAGCUAGUUGGUGAGGUAACGGCUCACCAAGGCAACGAUGCGUAGCCGACCUGAGAGGGGGAUCGGCCACACUGGGACUGAGACACGGCCCAGACUCCUACGGGAGGCAGCAGUAGGGAAUCUUCCGCAAUGGACGAAAGUCUGACGGAGCAACGCCGCGUGAGUGAUGAAGGCUUUCGGGUCGUAAAACUCUGUUGUUAGGGAAGAACAAGUGCUAGUUGAAUAAGCUGGCACCUUAACGGUACCUAACCAGAACGCCACGGCUAACUACGUGCCAGCAGCCGCGGUAA